rnacentral:rRNA from 1 species
ACUCAAAUGAAUAGACGGGGGCCCGCACAAGCGGAGGAACAUGUGGUUUAAUUCGAUGAUACGCGAGGAACCUUACCCGGGCUUGAAAUGCAUCUGACGUGGGCAGAGACGCCCAUUCCCCUCGGGGCAGAUGUGUAGGUGCUGCAUGGUUGUCGUCAGCUCGUGCCGUGAGGUGUCGGCUUAAGUGCCAUAACGAGCGCAACCCUCAUCAUUAGUUACCAUCAGGUGAAGCUGGGGACUCUAAUGAGACUGCCAUCGUAAGAUGCGAGGAAGGUGGGGAUGACGUCAAAUCAGCACGGCCCUUACGUCCGGGGCGACACACGUGUUACAAUGGGUGGUACAAAGGGCAGCUACAUGGCGACAUGAUGCUAAUCUCCAAAACCGCUCUCAGUUCGGAUCGGAGUCUGCAACUCGACUCCGUGAAGCUGGAUUCGCUAGUAAUCGCGCAUCAGCCACGGCGCGGUGAAUACGUUCCCGGGCCUUGCACACACCGCCCGU